GGGGGGGGGGGGGGGGGGGCCUGGCACGGGCGGGGCGGGCGGGGGAGGGGAGCUUGCGCCUGGGUUCAGCGGCGGACGGGUGAGUAAUGCCUAGGAAUCUGCCUGGUAGUGGGGGAUAACGUCCGGAAACGGGCGCUAAUACCGCAUACGUCCUGAGGGAGAAAGUGGGGGAUCUUCGGACCUCACGCUAUCAGAUGAGCCUAGGUCGGAUUAGCUAGUUGGUGGGGUAAAGGCCUACCAAGGCGACGAUCCGUAACUGGUCUGAGAGGAUGAUCAGUCACACUGGAACUGAGACACGGUCCAGACUCCUACGGGAGGCAGCAGUGGGGAAUAUUGGACAAUGGGCGAAAGCCUGAUCCAGCCAUGCCGCGUGUGUGAAGAAGGUCUUCGGAUUGUAAAGCACUUUAAGUUGGGAGGAAGGGCAGUAAGUUAAUACCUUGCUGUUUUGACGUUACCAACAGAAUAAGCACCGGCUAACUUCGUG
rnacentral:rRNA from 1 species